rnacentral:snoRNA from 1 species
GGUGAAGCAAAGUGAUGAGCAUUACUAGCUGGAGUCCCAAAGAGGCACGUGUGUGUGUGUGUGUGUGUGUGUGUGUGUGUGUGUGUGUAUCCUUGUCUGUGCAUGCACACGUGUGUCUGGGAGUGUGAAUGUGUGUGACUGGUUGUAGGGAACUAGUUAUGUGCCUUCUGUUGGACCAUGACAGUCAAACUGAUAAGAUCUGAUUGCUUC